rnacentral:pre_miRNA from 2 species
AACAUACUCUCUCCGUCAGGAAUUACAUGUUGCGGAAAUAGAUGUAUUUGAAUAUAUUUUAGUUCUAGAUACAUUCAUUUUAAUCUAUUUAUGCUACAAGUAAUUCAGGAGGAAGGGAGUAUUAA